rnacentral:misc_RNA from 1 species
CAACCUCUGAUCAUCUUCAAUACAGUAACCAAUUAGUUUAACCAAAUUGGGAUGAAUGAGAUCGCCAAGGAAAUUUACUUCCGCCAGCCAUUCUUUGUGACCCUGUAGUCCAUCAUGAUUUAGAGUUUUCACAGCAACAGUAAGCCCCGUUCCUGGUUUAACAGGUGCCGUCCCAUUCUCUUCAAUCCAACCCUUAAAGACACAACCAAAACCCCCUUCACCAAGAAGGGAUUCUGGUCUAAAGUUUCUUGUAGCCAACUUCAAAUCAUUAAAUGUGAACUUCCGAAGCUGCGAAAAAACCUUAAGUUCCUCUUCGAGUUUGGAAGUGGAAGAGUUACUUUCAGCAUUACUUGUGGUUGUGGAUGAGAUAAUUGGAGCAACAGGCUGGUAUAUUUUUGUAUCAUUUGUCGAUUUACUUUCACAGCGAGUGCUGAUGCCACUGAUGGAGUUAUCAACUUUAGAUCUUGAGGAAAUACAGCUACUAAUAAACCUCAACUUCAUCCAGCAGCCAGUCUCCUCCUCAUCCCCUUCUUUUUUCUUCCUUCCCUUUGAUUUCUCUACAUCCCAAGACCCCCCCUUUACACCA